GGUGACAGGUGGUGCAUGGUUGUCGUCAGCUCGUGUCGUGAGAUGUUGGGUUAAGUCCCGCAACRAGCGCAACCCUUAUUACUAGUUGCCAGCAUUYAGUUGGGCACUCUAGUGAGACUGCCGGUGACAAACCGGAGGAAGGUGGGGAUGACGUCAAAUCAUCAUGCCCCUUAUGACCUGGGCUACACACGUGCUACAAUGGCGUAUACAACGAGUUGCCAACCCGCGAGGGUGAGCUAAUCUCUUAAAGUACGUCUCAGUUCGGAUUGUAGGCUGCAACUCGCCUACAUGAAGUCGGAAUCGCUAGUAAUCGCGGAUCAGCACGCCGCGGUGAAUACGUUCCCGGGUCUUGUACACACCGCCCGU
rnacentral:rRNA from 1 species